GGGGAGUACGGCCGCAAGGUUAAAACUCAAAUGAAUUGACGGGGGCCCGCACAAGCGGUGGAGCAUGUGGUUUAAUUCGAUGCAACGCGAAGAACCUUACCUGGUCUUGACUUCCACAGAACUUAGCAGAGAUGCUUUGGUGCCUUCGGGAACUGUGAGACAGGUGCUGCAUGGCUGUCGUCAGCUCGUGUUGUGAAAUGUUGGGUUAAGUCCCGCAACGAGCGCAUCCCUUAUCCUUUGUUGCCAGCGGUCCGGCCGGGAACUCAAAGGAGACUGCCAGUGAUAAACUGGAGGAAGG
rnacentral:rRNA from 1 species